AUGCUGAGAGGAUUGAUAAGUUUCAGUGUCUUAAUGAUUGUCACUGAAGGAGCAUCAGUGAAAGUUCAUCCAGGAGGAAACACAACACUCCCCUGUAGCAUUAAAGAUGAUAAAGAGAUUACCUGGAUCAUUAUAAAUGGAAACCAAACAUUUGUCAGAAUUCUGAGACUAGAAUAUGUUUAUGGUCCACAAUCUAAACCAGAGCCCUCCUAUAUUCACCCCAGUUAUGCAGGUCGGAUAAGAGCUCUCAGUUCAUCCACGAACACUCACUCUCUGCUUCUGAUGAACAUCACUGACACUGAUCUCAUGCUCUUCUGCUGCACUGACUAUAAGAUUGAGCAAACUCACUGCACAAAACUGGAUUAUGAAGAGCAGCAGAAUACAGAAGAGAUAGAGGAUACAAAAACUAUUGGUAUUGGUAAUUAUAUCAGUACCACAGUAUGGCUGCCUGUGGUCUGUGUACUUCUAUUACUCUCACUGAUGUCAAAUGUGUGUAUGUGCUGGAGAAUAAAAAGACAAAAAAAAGGUUAGCAGCACGUAGCACAAUUCAUGUAAACUCCUAAACAUUUUUUAACUGUACAACUGUAUAAAUUAAAAAUUAAUUUUAAUUUGUAUUUCUUUUAUUUAUUUCUUUUUCUAUCCUUUUUUUUCCCAGAAAACUUAAAGGAAUCAAAGACAUUAUAUAAACAGAAUGAGCAGGUAUUCACCUUUUAGACUUCUAAAGAAGUUAAAUUCUAUAAUAUAUUACAUUAUUCAUUGGUUAGCAAAUGGAAAUGUACAUUUACCUCUACUUUUUCAGGAGAAUGAAGCUGAUGGAAUUUCAUAUGCAUCUGUUAAUAUAAAUAAAAUGCAAAGAAACAGAGGACA
ensembl:lncRNA